CGCGUAGGCGGUAAUGUAAGUCAGACGUGAAAUCCUUCGGCUCAACUGAAGAACUGCGUCUGAAACUGCAUGACUAGAGUGCAGAAGAGGGAAACGGAAUUCCAGGUGUAGAGGUGAAAUUCGUAGAUAUCUGGAGGAACACCGGUGGCGAAGGCGGUUUCCUGGUCUGACACUGACGCUGAGGCGCGAAAGCGUGGGGAGCAAACAGGAUUAGAUACCCUGGUAGUCCACGCCGUAAACGGUGGGUACUGGGUGUGGGAGGUGUAAUGCUUCUGUGCCGAAGCUAACGCGUUAAGUACCCCGCCCGGGGAGUACGGCCGCAAGGUUGAA
rnacentral:rRNA from 1 species